rnacentral:lncRNA from 1 species
UUGCAGCCGCCGACUUUGUAUGCGAAUGUAUUAUCCUCCAAGCUGCUACUUUUUGUGGGAAUCAUAUAAAUCCAUGCAGCCGCCAACCUCUCUCCAAAAGAUGCCAAAUUCUGCUUUCAGUUUGUAUUUGUAUAAUCCCCAAUUCUUGCCCUCCAAGCUGCUGUUUUCUGUUGGGAUAUAUAUAAAUAUAACUUCUUGCAGUCCACCAUAUAUAACCCCAGCAGCUGCCGACUUUAUCAAUUCAGCCGUCCAUUGUCUCUUUAAUUCCAAUUCGACCCCAAGCUGCAGCCGACUUUCUGCCGUGGAAUAUACUCAAUUCAGCCCCAGCAAUUCUCU